rnacentral:sRNA from 1 species
AUAUACAGGAAAGGGAAGCACAGUUUGGAACAACAGCAGAGAUAUAUGCCUAUCGAGAAGAACAGGAUUUUGGAAUUGAGAUAGUGAAAGUGAAAGCAAUUGGAAGACAAAGGUUCAAAGUCCUUGAGCUAAGAACACAGUCAGAUGGAAUCCAGCAAGCUAAAGUGCAAAUUCUUCCCGAAUGUGUGUUGCCUUCAACCAUGUCUGCAGUUCAAUUAGAAUCCCUCAAUAAGUGCCAGAUAUUUCCUUCAAAACCUGUCUCAAGGGAAGACCAAUGUUCAUAUAAAUGGUGGCAGAAAUACCAGAAGAGAAAGUUUCAUUGUGCAAAUCUAACUUCAUGGCCUCGCUGGCUAUAUUCCUUAUAUGAUGCUGAAACCUUAAUGGACAGAAUCAAGAAACAGCUACGUGAAUGGGAUGAAAAUCUAAAAGAUGAUUCUCUUCCUUCAAAUCCAAUAGGUAUGAAAAGUUAGUUUCCUGCCUGGAGCCUGGGAUGUCUUGCUAUAAAAAAUAGCUUUCUAAUGGAUGCAAUGAUAUCUUUUAGAUUUUAAGACUGAUUAAAACAUUUUAAUUCUGAAACGCAUAAUUUCCUUUGAGCAGUUGAAAAAAAUGAGUAUUUUAAAAUUAAUUGCAAUAAAAUCCUUAUAUUC